AAUUAAACAAAUAAGGGUGUAUGGUGGAUGCCUUGACAGUUUGAGCCUAAGAAGGACGCAGCAACCUGCGAAAGCUUCGGUGAGGUGGUAAGCAACCUUUGAUCCGGAGGUGUCCGAAUGGGGAAACCUAUCUGUUUGAAGAACAGAUGAUCAGUAUCCGUGGUGGAUACGAGAUCGGGAACCAUGCGAAGUGAAACAUCUCAGUAGCAUGUGGAAAAGAAAAUAAGGGCAUUAUUUAAUUUGAACUUUUGAUAUUGAAGUUCAAAUCGAAUAUUGUCUCAUUCUCCUAGUAGUGGCGAGCGAACGGGGAGGAGUCUAAACUAACUUUGUGUCUUCGAGUCGAAGAGUAAUCGCAAGAUUAUUUCAAACUCGGAUUAAAGCUUACAGGCGUUGCAAGGAUUAGUGUUGUAACAAUCAUUCAUUAGAACUCUGUAAAGUUCUUGAAGAUUCAGUUGGAGCUGUUUAGCCGAAUGGUCUGGAAAGACCAGCCAAAGAACGUGAUAGCCGUGUAGCGCGAAAAACCUCUUAUAUCUUCCGAAUGGUUUGUUAAGUACAACUAGACACGUGAAAUCUAGUUGGAAUCUGUGUCGACUACGACAUAAGACUAAAUACUCAAAUUGAUCGAUAGUGAACAAGUACCGCGAGGGAAAGGUGAAAAGCAGCCCGGUGAGGGCGAUGAAAUAGUACCUGAAACCAUACACUUACAAUCGAGUGGGAGCUCCAACGCCGCAGGGUGUUGUGAGUGACCGCGUGCCUAUUGAAGAAUGAUCCAACGAGUUAGCCGUACGUUGCUUACUUAAGCAUUAUCAAAUGCGAAGGUAUAGUGAAAGCGAGCCUUAAUAGGGCGUAAAAAUCAGAUAUCAGAUAAUCGGAGAUUUUCCGACCUCUGAUUUCCGAUUUUAGGUAGCGUGCGCUAAACCCGAAACCCGGUGAUCUACUCAUGGUCAGGAUGAACGUUAUGUAAAAGUAACGGGAGGUCCGAACGCUAGAAUGUUGCAAAAUUCCGCGAUGAACUGUGAGUAGGGGAGAAAUUCCAAUCGAACUGGGUAAUAGCUGGUUCUCCUCGAAAUAGCUUUAGGGCUAGCCUGUGCCGCACGUGUUUGAGGUAGAGCACUGAAUCGGCUCUGCGGGAGCAAUCUCGUAGACCGAACCAAACUCCGAAUUCAAACACUUAAGGGCAUGGAGUCAGACAAUGAGGUCUAAGCUUCGUUUGUCUAAUGGAGAAGAAUCCACACCGCCGUUUAAGGUCCCUAAAUCAAAACUAUAGUGUAAAGGAUGUGGGAACACUUAUACAACCAGGAGGUUGGCUUAGAAGCAGCCAUCCUUUAAAGAAAGCGUAACAGCUCACUGGUCAAGCGUUCUUGCGCCGACAAUGUAUAGGGGCUAAGUUUUGUACCGAAGACGCGGAUCCAAGUUCGGAGGUCAGAAAUCAGAUGUCAGAGGUCAGAGAAAUCCGACUUCUGAUUAUCCGACUUCCGAUCUCUGAACUUGGGUGGUAGAGGAGCGUUGUAUGUGGGCUGAAGCAGAGAGGGAACUCUCUGUGGACUGCAUACAAGUGAGAAUGUUGGAAUAAGUAAUAUGUAUGCAUGUGAGAAUCAUGCACACCGAAAAUCCAAGGUUUCCUGGGCAAUGAUAAUCAUCCCAGGGUUAGUCGAUCCUAAGUUCGUACCCGAACGGGUGCGGAUGAUGGCAAAUACGGUUGAUAUUCCGUAACCGCUUAUAAUACUGAUGCAAUUACACAUCAUGGUAAUCCGAGCAUAUUUUGACUAUAUGUGUUCUUGUGUUCUUAGCUGGGUGCUUGAGGUAAACCCCAAGCGUCUAUGUGUCCAGUUCGGAGGUCAGAGAUCAGAUGUCAGAGAUCGGAGAAAUUCGACUUCUGAUUAUCCGACUUCCGAUCUCCGAACUUGGAUUACUGUAACAGUGAAAACAUGAGAGAAGCUCGGUAACGGGCAAUUUGGACGAACCAAGGUGUCAAGAAACGUUGCUAGGGAUUAGCGAAGUUGUCUCGCAAGAGGUGACUUUGCUAAAUAGUUAUAAGUGAUCGUACCGCAAACCGACACAGGUGGAUGAGUGCUAGAAUACUAAGGUGACCGGGACAAUAAUCCUUAAGGAACUCGGCAAAAAAGCAGGCGUAAGUUAGCAAUAUGCCUUGCCCAGCCCCACUCUUCAGAUUCUAUGAUGAAUUUGAGAGUAAUGUUCCAGUUUAAGACAAUACACUCUAAGACAUAGUAGUUUUUGAUGAGUGGAGCUGGGUCGCAGCGACUGACCCCUCCCGACUGUUUAUCAAAAACUUAGGUCCGUGCAAACCCGCAAGGGGAAGUAUACGGGCUGAUGCCUGGCCAGUGUUAGAAGGUUAAACUCUUUUGCGCAAGCUCAAGAGCCAAGCCCUAAUGAACGCCGGCGAUAACUAUAAUCGUCCUAUGGUGAACUAAAAGCUGCCAUAGUAAAACUUGGCCAAAUGCUGGGAUAUCUGGUGUAUCGAGCGCUACUAGGUUAUAAUGACAAUGGAUAUUUAUUCCUUGUCUUAUGAAACAAAGUAAAAAUGCGUCUCGUGCAGACAAUCAGCAGGAAAGGCUAAUUGGUUGGAUUUUAGGGUUUGUUGAUGGAGAAGGUUGUUUCUCGAUUAAUUUCACGAAACAGCCAGAUCGUCAGGAAGCCACUAGAAUCCGGAGAGGUUACAAGACUGGUUAUCAAAUUUCGCAAAACUUUGCAGUAGUGCAAGGUCAGCGUAGUCUAAGGUCUUUAGAAGUGAUUAAGAUUUUCUUCGGAAUUGGUAAAAUUUACCGAAAUCGAAGACAUGAUAAUCAUAAAGAAGAUUUAUACAGCUAUAAAGUUACUAAUCGCGAAGAUUUGAAACGAGUAAUUAUUCCCUUUUUUAAACGGAAUAAACUGAUAACCUCGAAGCGAAAUGAUUUUUUGUUGUUCGCAAAGUGUGUUGAGUUAAUGCUACAGAAUAAGCACCUCGCAAUUGGCGGAAUGCUUAAAAUAGCCAGACUUACACAAAAGAUGAAUCACAAAAAAUCGCGAGAUAAACUAAUUAGAAUCCUCAGAGACUAUACGCCAAGGUCGUCCAAAAGACGACAAGAUAUAGUCCCAACUGCAUAGCGAUAUGCAGGCUUAACAGCACUUAAUCAUAAAAGAUUAAGAAAGACCCGAGCGAAAUUCCUUGUCGUGUAAGUUACGACCCGCACGAAUGGCAUAACGAGUAGGGGACUGUCUUAAGGAUUAACCCGAUGAAUUUACAUUGACGGUAAAGAUGCCGUCUACCCGCAACAAGACGGAAAGACCCUAUGAAGCUUUACUAUAGUGUGUCAUUGAUGCAAGAAUUUUUUUGUUUAGCAUAGGUGGGAGCCUUCGAAGUACUGGCGCUAGCUGGUAUGGAGGCGACAAGUGAAAUACCACCCUGAAAGAUUUUUGUUUCUAACCUUUAUUUAACCAACAAAGGGACAGUGGCUCAUGGGUAGUUUAACUGGGGCGGUUGCCUCCUAAAUGGUAACGGAGGCGUUUAUUAAGGUGAGCUUAGCUCCGAUGGAAACGGAGUGUGACGCGCAAACGCAAAAGCUCGCUUAACUGCAAGGCUGGCACGCCGCGCAGAUACGAAAGUAGAAGUUAGUGAUCCGACCAUCCUUCGUGGAAGGGUGGAAGCUCAACGGAUAAAAGU
rnacentral:rRNA from 1 species